AGCCCUGUAGUGUAGUGGCCAAGCAUCUAUGGUUUUGGUCCAUAGGACCCAGGUUCGAAUCCUGGCGGGGCUA
rnacentral:tRNA from 1 species